AGUGGUCUGUUAGGUUGGGGA
rnacentral:miRNA from 1 species